AUUAUGCCUUCUUGGUCUUCAACUCAGUUUCCCAUGACAUUUGUAUUGUAUUUUAACCAGACAUGUUAGUGCAUCUUCACAGAGUUUGACCAACCCUUACAACACUCUGUGGGCCCUAGUUUAGUUCCUCUUCACACUUUGAGACUGAGUUAAAGUGCUAAAGUUUUGCUAUAUUUGUUAGGCGGGGUUUAACUUCUCGUAAAUACUUCCGUUUAAACUCUACACCAUGUUCCCUGAAAUAUAUGUGUUUCUGCUGUUGAAAAAGGGCGUAAAGUACAGGUCUCCUGAGCAGGCAUCACUCUGCAGCAGGGACAUUAUAGCAAACUGUCUUUACAAUACCUGCUAUCGUGACUUUUAUAAAGGAUUCUAGAUAUGGCUUCAUUUGGGCUGAAUUCUGGUGGCAUGAGCCUCAACCUGUUGGCUACUCCUGCAAAUGACUUCCAAAGUCUCUCAUCAGUAUGCACCAAACUACAGAUAAUCACACAGUUGGUACCUAAACUAAAAGCCUUGUAGAGUUGUUCUAGCCAUUGUAAGUCAUAGUCAAACUGAAUGGAAUUGAAAGGAAAUUUAGGGUAAACCUAAAGUGGGUUAACAACUAAGUAAAACAUACUCAACUGCAUUUGGCACAAUCGUUGUGAUAAAACGGGGGUUUUCUGCACAAAUAUAAUUACAUAAGCGUUGGAAGCCUGCAGUGGUUGUUUGAACUCUUUAUUGUAUCACAAAAAUAUCAGCUAUCACAACCAUGGUGUCAAAUGCGUCGUACAUCAGUUGUACUACCUAAGUGUGUAUGGGGGCCAAAGAUAUCUGUUGAGUCAGAUAUUAGUGAACUAUUAGUAAAGAUCAACCAGCAGCAUAAAAUAUUGAAGUUGUAUAUGCUCUACCAAUGACUUUUGGUUUGAAUUUGGUUGUUUUUGUAAUACAUUGAGAUGCACUAAAAAUACAUGCCCAGGAUAAAACAACUGACCAAUGUGAACCAUAUGCACAGUUAUUUUAAUCUGAAAUAUGAACUGCCCUCAUGCAUUAGUUCAAAGACUAAACAAACAAGUAUACCAAGGGCCUGAAUGUUAAUGCAGUAUUUUAGGUUACUAUGCUGACUUGAGUAUAUUCUACAACUGUUCCGUUCCUAAUUGUACUGACAUUAACACAGUGUUGUACUGUGCAACAGUUUAUAUUGUCUCAACACAAAAUUAUGUUGUGAAAAGGGGGAACUAAAGAUAGAUACUGACUCUCGACUCUGGCCUCUACAGAUAUUUUUACAUUUCCCUCAGCCAGAAAUGACAGAAAAUAUUUAGAUAUCUCCACCGAACAGAGAGCUAAGUGAGACAGACAGAGGGCUGGUACACAGUAGGGAGUGGUAAGUUGAUUUAUAACAAUAUAAACAAGUCAUUAAGUCAGCAUAUUAUGAAGUGAUUAAUCAUUUGUGCAUUUGGUUAGCUGUUUAGGGAAAUAAAUUGUAUACUCUCUAUUACAGCAUAGAUUUGUAUCUCAUAAACCCUGAUUUCUUAAGUCUUGUGAUAAAAGAAGAUGCUGGUUGAGAUCUGCACCGUGGCUAUCUGCUGGGUCAUAACAGCAAGCUGUAGUCAGUGCAUAGGUACAGUAUAAUGCUCUACGACUUGACAAAAGAGUAUAGUAACAUGUUUUGGAAUAAGAUUACUCUCUUUGUAAGCUUUGGCGAGUCAAUUGUUAAAUGUAUUACUAUACUGGACAUUUUUAGAGCCUCGUGAGACAGGUACAAACUUCUCCAUCACAGUGACCCAAGACGUUACAGUAGAGGCUGGACGGUGCAUUCCUAUAGCAUGUAAAUUCACAUACCCAGGCAAUAUUACUGAAUACGUACGAAGAGUCUGGUUCAAAGGAGAUGCACUUACACCUGUAUUUGAAAAAGAUGCAGAGGUGUGCGGUGUUGUUUGGCAGUUCCUGAGAGGUCCUGAAAGGUCUUGCAGCUUUUUCCUCGAAGACCAACAAGAAGGAGAAAGCGAGUAUAGAUUCAAGUUAACAUGGGGAGAUGAUCAAAUGCAUGUUUUUCCUGAGAGGGUACGAGUCUCAGUGUCUGCUCUAACCCAGAAGAAGCCCACUGUGGAGACACCCCCUCUCACAGAGGGAGAGUGGGCCACACUGACCUGCAAAGUAUAUUCACUCAAACGAAAUGACCUCUGCCCGCAAAGACUGGAAGAAGAUUUUGUUGGAAUAGACUGGAGAGGGACAGAGAACUUAGGCAUGCUUUGGGGGAGAAUGGAGCCAUCAACAGCAGAACAUGUAUUCAGUGUGGCUGAGUUGUCUUUCACUCCUAAAUCCGAACAUCACAACAUCAACCUCACAUGUAUGGGCUUCUACAAGAAGGCCAACAUUACUGUGGAGAAAACGACCGUCCCAAGUUCCUGAAUGGCUCGGUGUGUGUGGUCCAGGCAGAGGUCCUGACCUGUGUGUGUGUCAGUCAGGGGGUUCCCUUACCAGUGAUUGCUUGGCCAAUGUUAGGGGUCUAUAUUAGUUACAGUAUCGUCGUCUCCAGGAGUGCCCAAACCGUGAACAGCACCAUCACCAUGUCUGCCUCAGAAUACAAGAACAGCAGCAUGGAGUGUGUCAGCAGAAAUGUAAUUGGCCAGAUCGAGAUGGAAUUCCCCGUACUACACCAAGCUGAAGGGAGCCUGACACAUAUCCCUGGGUCAGAGAAGAGGGAUGUUGCAGUCUUUCCCUGGAUAAUCGUUGGCUUGUCCCUCAGCCUUAAUGUGGCCCUCCUUGUCUAUCUGACCAGCGCUUGUAAAUGCAAAAAGGGUGGACAGAAGAGAGCAAAAGAAGAAGAUAGUACCUACAUCUCAUUGGACAAGGCAGACGUGUCUCCUGAAUAUGACAUCAUCUCCCCGAAUCCCCAUUGAUCCUCUGCUUGUGAUAACCUUCUACUUUAUUUUAGCGUUUGGUUCUGCUUGAUUUUGCUCUUUUAUUUCAAUUUCAAUUAUUUUCUAUUGCUAUACUUUUUGUUGUUGUUGCUUGAGCCCUGAAAACAUUUUGAUGUGAAUGAAUUCAACCUAUUUUCUGAAUAAUGUCUCAGGAUUUAUGCACAAAAAAAUGACUAAAUUGUAACAGUUUUUCUGUAAAAGCACAUACGGAAGCUACAAGUUAGUGUUAUCUUCCUCAUGUUCAACUAUGUUAAUCAAAAUGGUAUGCAGAUAAUCAAGGUACCACAGUAUGGAACGCCGUUUGGGUCUUUCCGUGUCAAAAAAGAUACACAUCAAAUAACACUAUUUGACACAUUGAAUAAGCUUUUAAUUUGACAUGUAAAAAAAAACAAUUUAAUUGUAGAAUGUUGUGUUGGACCGCAACUUCUGGGCUAGCAGCUAGCUUUAGCUUAGUCCCCAGCAAGAGGUGUUGUUCGCCUGUUGAAAUUGAACUUCAGUUCAUGACAAGAAAUAGCAAGCCAGCUCCUAAACCCUGGUGCCCAAAGUUAACGUUAUAUACUGCCAGCUAGCUUCAUGAGGCUCCACCAGACCGGGUUAUGUGUUAUGAAGCUAGCCACAAUAAGGAGUAGGCACAAUAGUGGAAUUUGCCAUUUGACUUCAAAAUAAAAGUUCCUCUUUGAAAGUGAUGCUGAAGGUAACAACUAGUGGAAUCGUGCCAUAUUUAGAUUAGAUCAUGUUAAACAAGGUUCAAAUCAAAUCAAAUCAAAUUUUAUUUGUCACAUACACAUGGUUAGCAGAUGUUAAUGCGAGUGUAGCGAAAUGCUUGUGCUUCUAGUUCCGACAAUGCAGUGAUAACCAACAAGUAAUCUAACUAACAAUUCCAAAACUACUGUCUUAUACACAGUGUAAGGGGAUAAGGAAUAUGUACAUAAGGAUAUAUCAAUGAGUGAUGGUACAGAGCAGCAUACAGUAGAUGGUAUCGAGUACAGUAUAUACAUAUGAGAUGAGUGUUUAGACAAAGUAAACAAAGUGGCAUAGUUAAAGUGGCUAGUGAUACAUAAGGAUGCAGUCGAUGAUGUAGAGUACAGUAUAUACAUAUGCAUAUGAGAUGAAUAAUGUAGGGUAAGUAACAUUAUAUAAGGUAGCAUUGUUUAAAGUGGCUAGUGAUAUAUUUACAUCAUUUCCCAUCAAUUUCCAUUAUUAAAGUGGCUGGAGUUGGGUCAGUGUCAAUGACAGUGUGUUGGCAGCAGCCACUCAAUGUUAGUGGUGGCUGUUUAACAGUCUGAUGGCCUUGAGAUAGAAGCUGUUUUUCAGUCUCUCGGUCCCAGCUUUGAUGCACCUGUACUGACCUCGCCUUCUGGAUGAUAGCGGGGUGAACAGGCAGUGGUUCGGGUGGUUGAUGUCCUUGAUGAUCUUUAUGGCCUUCCUGUAACAUCGGGUGGUGUAGGUGUCCUGGAGGGCAGGUAGUUUGCCCCCGGUGAUGCGUUGUGCAGUCCUCACUACCCUCUGGAGAGCCUUACGGUUGAGGGCGGAGCAGUUGCCGUACCAGGCGGUGAUACAGCCCGCCAGGAUGCUCUCGAUUGUGCAUCUGUAGAAGUUUGUGAGUGCUUUUGGUGACAAGCCGAAUUUCUUCAGCCUCCUGAGGUUGAAGAGGCGCUGCUGCGCCUUCUUCACGACGCUGUCAGUGUGAGUGGACCAAUUCAGUUUGUCUGUGAUGUGUAUGCCGAGGAACUUAAAACUAGCUACCCUCUCCACUACUGUUCCAUCGAUGUGGAUAGGGGGGUGUUCCCUCUGCUGUUUCCUGAAGUCCACAAUCAUCUCCUUAGUUUUGUUGACGUUGAGUGUUAGGUUAUUUUCCUGACACCACACUCCGAGGGCCCUCACCUCCUCCCUGUAGGCCGUCUCGUCGUUGUUGGUAAUCAAGCCUACCACUGUUGUGUCGUCCGCAAACUUGAUGAUUGAGUUGGAGGCGUGCGUGGCCACGCAGUCGUGGGUGAACAGGGAGUACAGGAGAGGGCUCAGAACGCACCCUUGUGGGGCCCCUGUGUUGAGGAUCAGCGGGGAGGAGAUGUUGUUGCCUACCCUCACCACCUGGGGGCAGCCCGUCAGGAAGUCCAGUACCCAGUUGCACAGGGCGGGGUCGAGACCCAGGGUUGGAAUGUGAAGCAAUGAAAUGGGGUAUCAGUCUACUCGGUGACACCCACAGAACACGACUGUGAAGAGUUUACUCAAAUAUUAGUGUUGUAGCUCUUAUUGCGGGACUGUGACUGUGUGAAAUCGCCUCCCCAGUCAUCUUAUUGUGUGUAUUGACAUUCAUAUUGUACUGUACAGCUUUACCUAAGGAUUGGGGAUCAAUGAAAUAGGGUAUCAGUCUACUCAAUACUCAAUAUAUUUUUCCCAACGUCCUCCUCAGAGUCCUCCUUAUCAGACUCCAAAACAUCCACGUGGUAUUGUUUUUCCUCUGGAAUAGUGUUCAAUAUACAUAGCUUGACAAUAAAUGUGUCUCAGUUCAGUUGUUUCAGAGUCCAGCAAUAAGAGCUACAGUACGACGAUAAUGUUCUCUGGGUGUCCUGAGUAGACUGAGACCCCAUGUCAUUGAUCCACAAUCUAUAGGUAAAGCUGUACUGUGAAAUAACUAUUUAAUUCACUUUUAUUUAACCGGGUAGGCCAGUUGAGAAAAAGUUCUCAUUUACAACUGCGACCUGGCCAAGAUAAAGCAAAGCAGUGCGACAAAAACAACAACAGAGAGUUACACAUAAACAAACGCACAGUCAAUAACACAAAAUAAAUAAAACUAGAAAAAGUUAUGUACAGUGUGUGCAAAUGUAAAAAUAAUUAUACAAAUAUAUAUGAAAUAUAUAUAUGAAGAAAACUGAUAUAUACAAGGGACAGGACAAGACAAUCAAAACAGACAUCCCCACUGCUACACCACCUUGGUUUAGUAUGCCCCCAAUGCAAAUCUAAAGUAUAAUCCAUCCAGUGUGAUUUCAACAGAUUUUUGUCAAAUUAACAAAUGAUUGUCUUUUGUUGAUUUUAUAUAACAGCAUUCCAACCUCUUUUGGCAUCAUCUCUUAAAUUAUGGCAUAAUUCUACUAUUUGUAUUAAUUUGCAUCACUGUCAAUGACAUACUUUUAUUUUGAAGGCUAACCGCAAAAUCCACUAUUGUGGCUAAUUCUUAUUGUGGCUAGCUACACAUAGAUGGGCCCGACCACCAUUAAUCAAAUAAGAACUGUCUUAUAAAUUAGGGUUAUUUUAGAUGAUGACACCUAGCUAUAUAGUUAGCUAGCUACUAUAGCUACAGAAAACAGAUUAUUUCGUUUUGCUAUGUUUUUGGGGAAGAACAUUGAUUGCAUCAAUGAGCUAGCUAGCUUUGUUUAUGACCAGCACUGUAGGUGCGCAGAGACAACUUUACCAACAUCUUUUAUAUUAUUUUUUAUAAAAUAUAUGUUUUAUUCAUAAUACAAAAAUCAACUUACAUUGCUACAUCAAACAUGUCUAAUAAAACAAAACACAGGUAUUAACAAGAAAAUACUCAAACAUACAAAAAAUUAUAUAAAAUAAUACAAAAAAUAAACUAUUUUAGUGCAAUUGUAUUAACUCUGAAAAUAUCUUAUUAUAAUGAUUCAGGAAUAUGUUAUUCUUGUUGUUAUUCACUUGGGUUAAUGUUUUAAUAAGAUAAUUUAAUUCAAUCAGAAAAAUUUGUAAUUUUGGUAUAGAAUUUGGAAUUUUGUUUGUGUAUAAAGUAUUUGGCAAAAAAAUUAAAAUAAUUAACAAUCAUUUCAGUGGUCUUGUUAUCAUUGCAAUAGUAACAUAUUGUAUCUUUCAUGUCAAAAACAUAGGCAGUGUUCAUAAUGCUAAAUAAGUAUUUUGCAAGGUUUUCCAUCAAUUCUGACACAAAUUUACAUUCAAAGAACAAGUGAGACAGAUUCUAAUCUUCUUUUUCACAGAAAACGCAUAUAUCAUCAAUAGCUAUACAUUUGGACAUCAUAGAAUUACAUGGGUAUAUCUUAUGUAAAAUUUUGAAAUGCACUUCCUUUACUUUGUUUGGUAUACAGUAUUUGUAAGGCCUUAACCAUGCAUUUUACCAAACAAUGUCAGGAAUAAGCAUGUUCCAGAAAAACCUUCCUCUCGGUGUAAGUUGGUUUUGUGAAUGAAGAAUUUGUCUUAUAUAUUUAUGAGAACACGAUCCCUCAAGAAAGCCCACACCUUCCAAUCUGAGUUCUGGAUAAACUUUGUGAUCAUUCCAAAAAUGAAGAUGAGUUUUCAUAAGUGUAGUUAGACCACUGGAAACAGCUUUGAUCACAGAAAUAAACUAUCUGAAAGGUAUUGAAAACUCUUUGAAUGUUAUAAAUUGUUCAUAUGUGAGAAUAUUACCCUUGUUGUCGAAAAUAUCAAGAACAAAGUCAAUAUUCCUCUCAUGCCAGCUGGGGUAGAACAAUGACUUAUUCCUUACAGUUAUGUCUGAAUUAUUCCACAAAAGAGCUUUGUGUGGGGAAAAAUUGUGCAGGAAACAUAUUUUCCAGGCCAUUAAAGCUUGUUGGUGAAACCUAGCCAAAUUUAGCAGGUAAUCUUUAAGGAAUAUAAUUACAUUGCAAUAAAAAUUGAAGACCUCCAAUUUAUUAAACACGUUAUUUGGAAUGAAAUACCAUAUUGAAUCAGUAUUGAUCAAACAUGUUUUCAACCAGUUUAUCUUGAAAGUGUUAUUUACGUCAGCAAAAUCCAACAAAUCUAGACCGCCUUCAGCUCUUUUGUUUGAAAGGACAGAUUUUUUUAGUUUGUGAGACUUAUUUUUCCAGAUGAAGUCAAGAAAGGUCUUAUUAAUCUCUUUAUAAGUAGCUGGAUUUACACAUAAUAAUAAUGAGGGGUAAACAAAAUGAGACAGUCCCUCUGUCUUGGACAGAAGUACUCUCCCAAGUAUAGAAAGAUCUCUUUUUAGCCAAUUAUUAAAUAUAUUUUUUAAUUCUCUUAAUUUUAGGAGAGAAAUUCAAAUGUUGUCUGACAAAGUGGUUUUUUGACAGAUGUAUUCCUAAAUAUUUAACAGGAAUAUAUCAUUUACAGGAAUAUUUUCUAUUUCUUCAUCACCCGAGUCAAAUAAACAUAAGAUUUCACAUUUAGAAACAUUCAGCAUUAAUCCUGAUGCAACAGAAAAUGCAGUUAUAGCAUUAAGGGCAUGGGGCGACCUGGUAUUUGUCUCUUAAGAAAAUAGUAGUAUCAUCAGCCAGUUCUGAGAUUUUGAUUUCUUUGUUAAAAAUGGUUAAGCCAUACAAAUUUGUAUUAUUCAGAAUAUCUAGAGAUAGAAGUUCCACAACCAAAAUGAAUAAAAAUGGCGAAAUUGGGCAUCCCUGUCGUGCACUUCUGUUGAUACUGAAUCUUUUGGAAGUAUUAAGGUUUAGUAGCACAUAACUAUUUAUAUCUUUGUAAAACAUGAAAAUUAUUUUAAUACAAUUUUCACCAAAUCCAAAAAGUUUAAGAGACCUAAAGAGAAAUUCAUGUUCAAUUGUGUCAAAGGCUUUACAGGAGUCCAAAAAUAGGACAACCGUAUCUGAGUCAAUUGCAUCUGAAUAAUCUAUAAGGUUCAAGACUAAACGAAUGUUAGAGCUUAUCUGACGGCCCUUCAUAAGUCCUGUUUGGGUCUCAUUUAUAAUGGUAUCUAUUCCUUUCUUUAAUCUUUUGGCAUAAAGCAGAGCAAUCCAUUUGUAAUCAACAUUUAAUAAAGUAAUUGGUCUCCAAUUGUCAAUGAGAGAAGGAUCUUUAUGGGGAAUCAAUUAAAUAAGACCCUGUUUCAUAGUGGAGACCAUUUCCCCAUUUUUAAUGCAAUCUUGAAACAUAUUGAAAAUCGGGUCUUCUCGUAACUCCCAAUACUGUCUAUAGAAUUCAACUGACAUGCCAUCAGGGCCAGGUGAUUUCCCUUUUUUCAUUGAAUUCAGCGCCUCUCUAAUUUCUUCAAUUGACACAGGUGAAUCGCAAACUGAGUGGAAAUCAUCCUCAAUUACAGGGACAUAAUUAUGAAUGUGGCAAAUGUAGCUUUCACAACCAUCUUCCUGAAAUUGAGAGCUGUUAAGGUUUUCAUAAAAGGAAUUGACAAAUGAUGAUAUUGUAAUGGGAUCUUUGCAUAAAACAUCAUUAGUUUUGAGUGCAGUUAUACGUUUUCUUUUGUAGUUUCUCUUUUCAAGUGCAAAAAAGUAACUAGUGUUUUUCCCCCUCUUCAAUCCAUUUUGCUCUUGACCUUACAAAGGCGCCCUUUGCCAGAUCCGUGUAAGGCUGUUCUAAUUCUAGUUGUAAAGAAUUGAACAUAGACUCCUCUUCUUCAGAUAGAUUAUCUUUCUUUAGAAAACUGUCAAGCUUGCUCAUCUCCUUUUCUCUAAGGUUCUUUAAUUGCAUCAGCUCUUUGGCGCGUUUAAUAGCUACCACUCUGACUUUAUAUUUGUCACAUAAAUCUAGAAUAGAUUUAUUCCUAAUUUCCCCUUUUUUGUUACAAUUUGUUAUAGAUGUAGAUCAUCAGUUGGCUCCCCUUUCUGAUCAUCACUUGAUUUACCUGAAUUUACAAGAAUUUGAAUUUACAAGAUAUAUAUUUUUUUGCAAGAAAAGACUUGGGUCAUGGAAGUAGAUGGGAACUUUACCAGUAUCAUAGCAUAUGAAAUACGACUGAUAGUGUAAUCAAUGUGUAAUAAAUACAUAAAAAAUGAUUUAAUGCGUUCAAUUAUUACGUGACGUGCAUCAUAUUCAGGUCCUGAUUGGUUAACAAGCUUGUUUAGUGUUAUUUGUUAUGUGACAUGCAUCAUAUUCAGGUCCUGAUUGGUCAACAAGCUUAUUUAGUGUUAUUUGUUAUUUGACGUGUAUUAUUUUUUGACACGCCAAGACCCAAACAGCGUUCCAUACCACAGUUGCAAAUAUUAUCAAGUGAAGUGGUUUUAAAAAUGCUUUGUGUGAUGUCGCUUCUGCAAACAAUGAGGGCUGGUGUGGGAGGAAUAACUGGUAAAUACUGUAUUAAUAAAGUCAUACUAAUACAUGGAGAUAUAGAAUGUAUUUGGGGUGUAUUUUCCUUACUGUUUUGGGUAUGAGAGAACAGAUAACACACUAUAUAGAUAAACUGAGCGGGUCACAUUCUCUGUUGUUUACUUUAUUUGUUGUUUGGAACCAAAGAAAGAUGGCUUUGCUUGAGGCGGGACAGACUUGUAAAAUAAAGAGAGUGAUCAA